GUCUCGCGCUCCUGGACCGCUCGGGAGAAGCCGGGGCGGCGCGGGCCUCUGGUCACGCCGGCGCACCGGAGCGCGCAGGAGCGGUCACACGUGCCGGCUUCUGACCGCAGCGUGCUACUGGUGUUCGCGGGCUUGGCGGAGGGUGAAACUCGGGUAGCUCUGAGAGGAGAGGGCCAUCUCAUACGGUGGACAGACGUGCAUUGAGCGGAGCUGGCCCGGCUGCGCCGGUUGUCUGCUCCGGAGAACUGUUGCUGCUGCUGUCUGGGGAAGCUUGCAACUCAUCCCGUCAGGGCCAGGGUGGCAGGGUGAUGACUGAAGGUGGAGCCUGCAGUUCAGUGAAUCACCAACGAGGAAAGGGGUGGGAUCCACCAGGGCCAGACGUGCCCCGUAAGUUCCUCUGAAAUCUAAGCUUUUGGUGACUCCUCCUCAUCGUGUGCUUACACCCAGUGCCCACAUGGCUCAGGUGGGCUGAGUGCUGUGGAUAUAGGUGUCAAAAUCUUUGCCCUUCACCUUCUCUCACCUUCUCCCAAAAUAAUCUGGUGAAAGGUUGCUAUGGGUUAAAUUGUGUCCCUUCAUAAGAGGUAUGUUGAAAUCCUAAACCCCAGGACUUCAGAAUGGGACCUGACUUGGAAAUGGAGUUAUUGCAGAUGUAAAGAUGAGGUCAUCCUGGAUUAGGGGUGGUGUAUCCUUAUAAGAAGACUGCCCUGCAAAGAUGGAGACCCACAAGGAAGAUUUCCUGUGAUGGCAAAGCAGCUAUGGCAGUUACACGGCGGCAUGCCAGAGAUGGCCAGCAAGUCACUAGAAGCUGCCAAAAGGCAAGGAAGGACUCUUCCACAAAUUUCAGAGGGAGCAUGGCUCUUCAAAAACCUGAUUUCAGACUUCUAGCCUCCACAACCAUGAGACAGUAAAUCUGUUUUAACCUAUCCAGUUUGUUUUUAUUGUAUUAAGGUAGCUCUAGGAAAGUACUACUUUCCUAGAAAGUACUGGAGUACCCACUCCACUAUUCUUGCCUGGGAAAUUCCAUGGACAGAGGAGCCUUGUAAGCCACAGUCCACGGGGUCGCAAAGAGUCGGAUACGACUGAGUGACUCCACUUUCACCCACUCACAGGAAAGUAAUAGAAAAGUCAGUGUCUCAUUUGAUACUGCAAUAGAUGCGCACUAUUUGUCAGUUUCCUAAUUUUUAGCCUCCCCAAAACCCAAUUGAAUUAUUCAGGCUACUUUAAACUGUCAGUUUGCAGAUCACAUAUGCUACAGUGCUUAACUUUGUUUUACUAAAAGCAUGUUCAGCAGCUCUCCAGAUUUUAGGCUACACAAAGAACCUUGUAUGAUCUAAGGAAAGGUCAGGACUGUAGACAGUGCACUUGAUUCUAUGCUGUUUGUAACAUUUAGGUAGAGUAUUUUUCCCUUUGUUAAGAGGCUGAUAUUAUAUCCAGAUAUAUAGAAAAAGUACCCAUAUCCUAUGACUUUUUUCAUUCUGUUCUAAUUUCAUCUCAUGCUUAAAGAUGCAAAGUUGACUGUGGAGUAUAUGAUGACUGCAUUUUUUGAUCCAAAAUAUAAGAUCUCAAUACCAUCAUUCCCAUUCCAAUUUGUAUAUUUCUAACUCUAAAAUUAGAUGCAGACCUAACUGAAAAAUAUGGAAAGAAAAUGAACAGACACUUCACCCCCAAAGGAAAUUCAAGUGACUCAGACAUAAUACAAGAAAUAAAAGAUGUUCUAUCUGAUUUAUAAUAAACAUGAAAAUUAAAAUGAUAAGCAGUUACCCUAGUCCAUUACCAAUUUAGCAAAGAUCAAAAAGUUCAGUUACAUUGUAUUGAUGAGGGUGAGUGGAAAUAUAGGCAAUGCUGAUGUAAACUGUUGGUGUAUUUAUGGAAAGCUCAUUAUAUAUAUUAAAAACUUAAGUGUAUGUGUCCUUUAACCCUGAAAUAUCACACCUGUGACUUUAAAAGUGGACUUCCUUUUUCUCGAGAAGUUUUAGCAAAAUUGAGUGGCAAUUACGGACGUUUCCCACAUAUCACCUUUGUCCACAUAGGUUCACAACCUCCCCUACCACCACAUUCCCAUGUUGGGAAUUGGUUGCAUUUGUUAUGGAACAUUUGUUACAAAGGAUGGAUCUGCGCUGACACAUCAUUAUAAUCCAAAGCCUGUAGUUUACAUUAGGUUCAUUCCUGGUGUUGUCCAUCCUGUGAGUUUGACAAACGUGUGAGCUGCCCUGGUGGCUCAGACGGUAAGUGUCUGCCUGCAGUGUGGGAGACCCGGGCUCAAUCCCUGGGUUGGGAAGAUCCCCUGGAGAAGGAAAUGGCAACCCACUCCAGUACUCUUGCCUGGAAAAUCCCAUGGACUGAGGAGCCUGGUAGGCUACAGUCCGUGGGGUCGCAAAGAGUCGGACAUGACUGAGCGACUUCACUUUCACUUCACAUAGUGACGUGUAUCCACUGUUAUAGUAUCAUGGAAAGCAUUUUCAUUGCCCUCAAAAUCCUCUACUCGUUUCCUAUUCAUCCCUCCCUCUGUAGCUUCCAACAACCACUGAUCUUUUUACUGUCUUCAUAAUUUUGCCUUUUCCAGAACACAACACUGCUGAAAUCAUGCAGUAUGUAGCCUUUCAGAUUAGCCUCUUUUACUUAUAACAUGUAUUUAAGUUUCAUUCAUGUCUUUUUCAUGGCUUGAUAGUUCAUUUCUAUUUAUUGUUGACUAAUACUCCGUUGCCUGGUUGUACUGCAGUUUGUUUAUCCACUCACCUAGUGAAAGGUAUCGUGGUUGCCUCCCAGUUUUGGCAAUUAUAAAUAAAACUGCUGUAGACAUCUGUGGGCAGG